CAGUCGCCGCGGUAAUACGAAGGGUGCAAGCGUUAAUCGGAAUUACUGGGCGUAAAGCGUGCGCAGGCGGUUGUGUAAGACAGGUGUGAAAUCCCCGGGCUUAACCUGGGAACUGCGCUUGUGACUGCACAGCUAGAGUAUGGCAGAGGGGGGUGGAAUUCCACGUGUAGCAGUGAAAUGCGUAGAGAUGUGGAGGAACACCGAUGGCGAAGGCAGCCCCCUGGGCCAAUACUGACGCUCAUGCACGAAAGCGUGGGGAGCAAACAGGAUUAGAGACCCCUGUAGUCCCUGUCUCUUAUAA
rnacentral:rRNA from 1 species